UACGUAGGGUGCAAGCGUUGUCCGGAAUUAUUGGGCGUAAAGAGCUCGUAGGCGGUCUGUCACGUCGGCUGUGAAAACGCGAGGCUCAACCUCGCGCCUGCAGUGGGUACGGGCAGACUAGAGUGCGGUAGGGGAGAUUGGAAUUCCUGGUGUAGCGGUGGAAUGCGCAGAUAUCAGGAGGAACACCGAUGGCGAAGGCAGAUCUCUGGGCCGUAACUGACGCUGAGGAGCGAAAGCGUGGGGAGCGAACGGG
rnacentral:rRNA from 1 species